CCUGCCCAAGAGAUCGGGAUAACACCUGGAAACAGAUGCUAAUACCGGAUAACAACAGAUGAUGCCUAUCAACUGUUUAAAAGAUGGUUCUGCUAUCACUCUUGGAUGGACCUGCGGUGCAUUAGCUAGUUGGUAGGGUAACGGCCUACCAAGGCGAUGAUGCAUAGCCGAGUUGAGAGACUGAUCGGCCACAUUGGGACUGAGACACGGCCCAAACUCCUACGGGAGGCAGCAGAU
rnacentral:rRNA from 1 species